UUCUACAGGAGUGUUUGAACAGGGCUCCAGGGCAGCCUUCCAGCCUCAGCCUGUGGCUGCCCACGUUCGGGCAGGCCUCUGUCCGGGUGCUGGCCAUGAUCUGCAUUGCCACUGCCCUCACGCCCUUGGCCUCCAAGCCCGGAGGAAAGCAUGAGAGAGAAAGUCCCUCUAUUCUCAUCUUUACAGAGAAGAGAAUAUAAAGGAGAGGCCAGUGUGGAUGAUGUGAGGGGACGCUCCACCUACACGCCUGGCAGGCAGGAGAGGACGCGGUCACACCAGGGACGUGAGUCUUAAGUCUCAUCAGAGAGAAUCACACGAUUCCAGAAUAGAAUCCUAAAUCCAGCAGCUCGUGACAUUAUAGCUGGAAUCUGGAGCCACAGCACACAAUGUCGAAAGAAAAGCCGGGCCAAGAACAUUCUAAGAUCCCAGGACCAGAAAUCCCAUGUGGCACUGCCAGCUUUGUCUUGUCUGCACAGCACGGAUGCUCAAUCUCCUGUUCCCGUCUCUGGGCAUGCAGACCCUACUCACCUUCCCAAAGCCCUUUUCAUAUUUUCACGUUUCUUUAUUUCUGCUUUUCAAUCCUGUUGCUCCAAUAAAAACCUGCCUCUGUCUCUA